GGAACGGAUCGGGUGGCCGCUUCUGUCAGCUUAGCUGACAGGGGAGGAAAGUCCGAGCUCCGGAGAGCGGCGUAACGGCUAACGGCCGUCCACCGUGCCUUCGUCAAAAACACGGGCAGGGUGAGGAUAAUCCCGAAUGCGAAUUUUUUACUUCGGGAUCCCGGAGGGCUUCCUUAUCGGAAGUUUUUCGGGAGAGUCACAGAGACGAGUAAAUACCCGGAUUUUCACGGAUGUUUGUAUCCGUUAAAUCCGUGUAUGGACGUGAAACGGGACAAUCUCUACGCGGAGCAAGGCCAAAUAAAUCCCGAUUAAGGAGUUGCUCGCUCCUAUCGUGUUUUAUCGAUAUCGGGAUGGGUAGGCUGCUAGAGGUUGCCAGCAAUGACAACCCAAGACAGAUGGUCACCGUUGGGCAUGCAAUUUACGCUGGCUUUACGGAGGCCGCAAGGCCUCCUUAAAAGGCCUCCGUAAAUUGUUAGCGCAUUCACAGAACUCGGCUUACAGGUCCGUUCCGCCA
rnacentral:RNase_P_RNA from 1 species